rnacentral:rRNA from 1 species
AUGGCCUCUCCUGGUCCCGUCACGUCGUCGUUGAACGGCUCGGAGGCGACACGGGCGCCGCCUGCGGCGCUGACCGAGGAGAGGAAGCGGAAGCGCAAGGAGUCGAACCGGCUGUCCGCGCAGCGGUCGCGCGCGCGCAAGCUGCUGCAGGUGGACGAGCUGGAGGCGGAGGCGGCAGCACUGCGCGCCCGGAACUGCGCCGUGGCAGCGGCGGCACAGGAGGCCGCGCGCCGGUGCGCGGUCGUCCAGGCCGAGAACGAGCUCCUGCAUGCGCGGGCGCUGGAGCUGGGCGCGCGCCUCGAGUCGCUCGCCGAGCUGAUCCAGUACAUCGACGCGGCCGCCGCCAUGGGUGCUUCCUCCAUCCCGCUCGCCGGCGUCAACGGCACCGCCUUGCCCCAGCAGCCGAUCCUGCAAACGGAGUUGUACUGCAACUACCCCUACUACUGCUAG